UCCGCGAUAGCUCAGUUGGUAGAGCGGGCGGCUGUUAAUCGCCUGGUCGCAGGUUCGAGUCCUGCUCCCGGAGCCA
rnacentral:tRNA from 1 species